UUCCUGUGACCUGUGUCAUCAACGGACAGUGGGUGUUCGUUCUUUGUAUUGUUAACAUCCAUUCUGUGUGUUCAGCAUCCAAAAAUGGGAAAUCGCUUGUUUAUUUUUAUGUGUCUCAUAAUUAUGAUUUGUGCGCUACCGAACCCUGAACAAAGAAACAGAAGAGAUGUGAUGGAUUCGAUUAAGCAAGCUGGGGACGAGGUGCUGAAGACGCUCAAUGACGCUGGGGAUGCUGUAGUUGACGUGUUUAAACCAACAGAGAAAAACGUUUUAGACAAAAUGGCGGAUGGAAUAAAGGGACUUGCUGAUUAGUAA